GACGAACGCUGGCGGCGUGCUUAACACAUGCAAGUCGAACGGUUAAGCGCCUUUCUUUUUGGUGGUUGUGGAUGAGUGGCGAACGGGUGAGUAACACGUGAGUAACCUGCGCCCUUCUUCUGGAUAACCGCAUGACUAUUUGCCUAUUAGGGGUUAGUCUGGGUCUGUCGCAUAUUGGGUCUGGAAAAUAUAUGGUUCCGUUGGGUGGGGGGCGCUCGGCUUUCCGGCUUGUUGGUGGGUUGUUGGCCUACCAAGGCGGUGACGGGUGGCGGGCCUGAGAGGGUGGACGGCAACACUGGGACUGAGACACGGCACAGACUCCUACGGGAGGCAGCAGUGGGGAAUAGUGAACAAUGGGCGCAAGCCUGCAGCAGCGCCGCGGCGUGAGGGAUGGAGGCCUUCGGGUUGUGAACCUCUUUCGCCAGUGAAGCAGGCCUGCCUAGUUUGUGGGUGGGUUGACGGUAGCUGGAUAAGAAGCGCCGGCUAACUACGUG
rnacentral:rRNA from 1 species